AGUACAUCUAACUACCGCGAAGCAGGCGGGAGGGAACGCCAAGCGCGUCGAUGGGCUGGUGACGGGACCGAAACCAAGGCCGGCCGCGUCGGCCCUUCGUACAGGCUACCCUAACAAAUGCCAUAGACUCAAUGGCUUCAAAUACAGCUGCUUUUGGUUGGGUGAUUUCUGCCAGCAAUGAAAACCUGACUGCAACAGUUCCCC